CCAAAGUGCUGGGAUUACAGGCGUGAGCCACCGCACCUGGCCUAGUUUUAGAUUUAAAUCGCUAGUUGAUAUUGUUCCUUUCAGCUCAUCAGUUGAAAUGGUAGUUGUGUAGAAAAGUUAAUGGGUGUUUGCCACAAUCUUCUGUGAGUUGAAGUUAGGGUUUGUGACUGUUUCACUUUCUCAACUAGUAUUCUCUUUUCGUUUAUAUGUAAUUAAGUAACAUUUCGCUGUUUGCGGGCUUUUCUUUUUUGAGAUGGAGUUUCCCUCGUGUGUGUGUGUGUGUG
rnacentral:lncRNA from 1 species